rnacentral:tRNA from 1 species
AUUUAUAUAGUUUAAAAAAAACAUUACAUUUUCAUUGUAAAAUUAAAUUAUUUUAUUUUAUAAAUU